rnacentral:misc_RNA from 1 species
CUUUUUCUUUGUGAAAAAAAUUUCCUCUUCAAUCAGUAAUAAUGUCUCCUUUGAUUUCCUAUUCAGCAUCCACAAAAACUAAAUCUCACAAACAAUGGGUAAUUAUAACAAUCAUGGCAUCUUUUAACAUAAAAUGGAGCACACUAUCUAAAGGAGGUACUAUUAUAUAUCAGGCAUUGGAUUCCACAUCAUCCUCCAUCUCACGCACAACUUGAAGGGGGCCGCUACCAAACAUGAAGCCACUGUCUGACAGAUUAUUUAAAAGACCGUUUCCAAAUAAACAAACCUGUGGUUCAAUCUGGUUCAAGCGAUUCCACUCUCCAUCUGAUAGAGACCAAGUGAAGAUAUCUAUAUUUUUUCUUAUCCGAUCAGGCUUGAGGCUGCAAGGUAGGACACUUGUUCCUCUUUGUAAUCCCCACCGAAGAAUAACCUGUUCGGGUGUCUUUUUGAGUUUAUCUGCUAUCUCUGAAACAACUGACAGUUUCAGCAUGGGUCCAUGUACAGAUCUUGACCUCUUAAAUGAUAUGCGAGGAGUACCAGGUUCAUCCUCCCCUGAUCCACUGUCAGAUGGUCCAGGACUUGAUGUAGGAACUCCUAAAGGUGUGUGAGCAGAUACAUGGAUACCCUUCAAUUGACAGAACUUUACUAAUUCUUCUUGCCUCCAAAAGGGAUGCAACUCAACCUGA